GUAGUGUUAGAUCAUGUACAACACAACAAAGGUCACAUCUUAACAGCAGCUGUGUAUCCCUCUCAUGGUCAGCAAAGAUGAAUGUGCCCUACAGAGAUAUUAGAGACCAAUCACAGGAAUGAGACACAUUCAUGGACUCUAAUCCAGGAAGGAAUUCGUAGCUCCCUCUCUCUUAAGAUCAGGCGCACAGCCUAAAAUAAAACACACGCACACAUACACACACACACACACAGGCGAGUGGUGCAUGUGAAGGCUGGAGCUAAAUUUAUCCCAAUCUACUGAUCGAUCACUGAAGAUCACUGCCCUGCUCCAGGCUGCCAUGCAUCACCGGCUGGCCGCUGUGUGUUUGUCGGGCCAUGAGAGGCACACAACGCGCCGCAUGUGCGCUUCUGCUGCCUGCUCUUUAACACAUGGUUGACAAGACGCGUUCGGAAUCGGUCGGCCUAAAUAAUAAAUGUGCAGUAAGAGGAUCUAAUUUUACUGCCACUCUGCGCCAACUGGGUUUGAGUUAAGUCUGAGCAGUCAAAGUCGUCCUCUUUUGCGCAUGUUUUCUUUCUUUUUGUUCCCCCACUCGUCUUUUGAUUGAUUCCGAUAUGACAUUUCCUACGCUUUUAGCCCGUUGCAUCACAGUCUGGCCCAAACUAAUUAUUACAUCGGUAGGCGAGGCUUGACUGUUUUUCUCCCUCUUUCUUUUGGACAAAUAGAACUAGCCCCAAUUAUAAUGGAUUAGCCUUUGAAUGGUCUGAGGAAUCACGCCGACAUCGCUUCUCAGGUCAAAGCUUCCACAGCAUAAAUCCCCAUUCAAACCAACAAGACCGUCAGUGGAUUCAGAAUAAGCUCGGUUGACCAGCACCACCAACAAAACUACACUUCAACUCUGGAGGCAUGAAUUCCAAUUAAAAGGAGCUUUACGCGUUCUGGUUCACGCAAAAUGCGCUGCUUCCUCACUUGGAAAAAAACAUCUAAAUAAAUAAAAUGAAACAAUUUCCCUUCCGCCAAAACUCGACAGCCGAACAAAUCAAUCCACAUCUGCUUAUGGUUCGAUUAACCACCUUUCAAUUAAGCACGGUAUCCCCUCGGGCAAAUCAAACCACCACAAAAAGAGGUGUCCCACUUUAUUCAGUGUUCAAACCAAAUUACGUUCCUCUUGACAAAAACCUGACCGGUUAUUAGGCCCACUGCAAAAGCAAAAGUAGCUGAAACGCACUAUUGUGGAUAGACAGUCUGAUGGGAACUCCUGUGCAGCCAAGAGUCUGCAGCUCUGAGGCAUGCUCCCCUUAUCUGGGACAGAGGCUGGAUAUCAGGCGGCAGGUCCCCCUCUCAGCCCGUACAUCCCCCUGCACCGGACACGCACUUCCAUGGCAAAGCAAAGGUGUUGCUCUUACGCUCAGUCCUGCCUUAUUAACAACACCUAACAACGCACUUCUGAGCAGCUCAUCUAUUUCUCGGCUCUCCUGUGUGCGCCUUCACUUCCCGAAGCGGCGGCGGCGGCGGCGGCGGCAGCAACAACAAACAAGAAGAAGAGACGCGGAGCUCGGGGACCCAGAAAAAGACUGUGCGUGACUGAAAAGGGACAGAAAAAGAGUGGGGCUUUCAGAGUCUUGAUGAAGGAGGAGGAGGAGGAGGAGGAGGUGGGGAGAGGACUCUCCGCUCUCCGCUACUUGGGCUGGAUCUCUCUGCCUGGCUCCUCCUGAGUGAGACUGACUGGGACAAGUUUUCAGCGGCUCGCCUCUGGAAAGGAUCCCGCUCACAGUGUUGAGACACUUGGUGGAAGCAGCGCGGAGCGGGCUUCCAGUAAACAGCGCCAGUGCAGAGGAGAGCAGGCUGGCGUCUGCAGGAGCCCGUCUGAGCGGACGACUCCACUAAAAACCCGGCAUGGACUUUCACGUCCGCGCUGACUCGGAGUCUAGAUCGGUGCAAGAGACUAAUCACAUCAACUUAUUAUCAUGCCCGGUAGGAAUCAGUUCUAACAGCAGAUUCAGCUGCGUCACACAGACAGGAAGGAGGUUAUCAAUAAAUUCCCCCCCUCCGUCCUCGUUUUUUGGCCCCCUUUUUUCUGCUUAGAGAUGCAACACUGCCUUCCUUUUGGGUAUGAGAGGCCCACACUCUGUCACAGUAGGCAGUCCAGCCUGUUCAACCAAUGACAGAGGACUUAUUCUACUGUAAUACUACCAAGCAUCAAAAGGAACAUGGAAGCACAGAUAGACCCCCCCUCCACCCAAGCCUCUCUACAACUGGCCCCACAGGAUAACAAACUGGCCCGGGUAGCAGUGGUCAAACUGCUGCUGCUGCUGCUGGUGCUCGUAGUGUGUGGAGCCAUGCAGUUGUUCAAAACCAAGAAUCCCUCUGCAAUCGUGAGUGUGUGUUUUGUUUUUCCCUCUUGCACUUUUCUUUUUACAUCAUUCAUGAUGCCAUUCAGGGGAUUUUUCUUGUCAGGCUGUCUUGCACUCCUUACUGUAAGCUGUUAUGUUGGUGAUCCACAAUUGGCAGAUUCAGCGGUGAUCACAGUUCGUCCCGUGCAAAAUGUCUAAGGGACAUUCCCUUCAAAUAAUCAGAUCUGCCAUUUUUUCAUCUUUUAUUUUCUAUCUUCAGAUCAGAAUAUCUUAAAAAUAAACAAAACACAAGUCA